AAGGGCGCAUGGUGGAUGCCUUGGCACUAGGAGCCGAUGAAGGACGGGACUAACACCGAUAUGCUUCGGGGAGCUGUACGUAAGCUUUGAUCCGGAGAUUUCCGAAUGGGGAAACCCAGCAGUUUUAAUCGACUGUUACUGCUCAGUGAAUUCAU
rnacentral:rRNA from 2 species